GGUUUCCAUAUGGUCGUAACGGUCGUAAAGAUUGAGUCACGAUCUUUCUCAUCAGCCGAAAUACUUGGUACUGAGAAUAUACGCGAAGUGAACGUAAUUAUAACUAGAGAACACUUAUGAUUUAUAUGUGGUUUACAGGUAUAAACUAUUAUAAACUGGCCUUUGAGAAAGAUCGUGACUCUAUUUUUACGACCAUUACGACCAUAUGGAAACC